rnacentral:lncRNA from 1 species
ACCCGAUGCGUACGGGAAAUAACGUCAUAAUAAUAUUGGUACCCAUGGCAACUAGAUUCCAGCAACACCACCACAUCUUGAAGGCAAGAUGGAGGAUAUCUGUACUGCACCUCCUGGGUCUAUACUCCACUACUGUGGCGUCAGCGGCACAGCUACUAGUGUUGAGCUUACUAUUUAGUGUCUCUGUCUCUCUCAAGCUUAUGCUUCAGUACUGACGUCAUCAAGUAUUUCAUUGAAUCCAAUUCAAGUUUCAAGCUAUGAAGUAUCAAGAGCAAAGGACUAUUUUAUGCAUGACCAAACAUUGUUGUAUUGUUGUGUGUUAUUUAUUUCUUUAAAUUGCCAAAAAAUAUUUU